GAUUGACCUCGGAUCAGGUAGGGAUACCCGNUGAACUUAAGCAUA
rnacentral:rRNA from 1 species